UGUAACACCCAGCAUUUUCACUACAGUAUAUAUAUUAUUUUCUAUUAUCUAAAAGAAGAAAGAGAAGUAGAAUCACUGAGAUGAGAUGAGAUAUUAUUAUAAUACCUUGAGCUUUUAAUUCAAUGAUUGCAUAAUUUGAAUAAUUAAGUAUUCUUGCUUUCUUUAUUAUUUUCAUUCUUGGAAGCAAGUUUAUAAUUCCUAGUUAAAGGGAUUAUUUUAUUAUUUUUCAGAGAUGAGAUUGGUGAUAAAUACGAAAUAUUAUUAGUCGACUUAUUGCUCGGCUAAUUGAAGUGACGGAUGUUAUUUAAUUAUUUAUCUAUGAGCUUUCUUUUUUUAAUAGUGAUAGUUUGAGGAAAUUUAGUAUAUGUAUAUAGAAUUGUAUUAUAUUUCAUUGGGUGUAUAAUAAUUUAUUAAUUUAGAUAGCUAUCAAAUACUACUUGAGCUUGGAGCACAAGUUUCGUGAGUCAUAUUAGUGUAGAGAAUUGCUUUUCUAAUUUAUUCUUAUUUUUAUUUGAUCUAAUUUUGAGGGCCACAAAAUAAGGCUUAUAGGAAAAGCCAAGUUUUCCUCUUAUUAUUUAUUUCUUCUACAAACCUCAAAUGGGCCGAUCAGCAAGGGAAAUGAGGUUUGAAUUAUAUUGCUCAUUUCUAUAAUUGGAUUUAAAUUUUUAAUGUUUGAGAUAAGCAUUUAUUUAUUGUAAAGUGUAUAUAUUAGUUUGAGGAGAUUCAUUUCCUUUUCUUCUCCCCAAAUCAGUCGACCUUCUCCCCUCUCUCUUUAUGGAACCUCUGUUUGAGUUUACUUUCAACCUUCAAGAAGAUUCAGCCGCCGCCUCUGCUCCGACCGUCGUCGGCUGCCGUCGGGUCCAAGUCCGGCGUCUCGUCUGUUCUUCCCUGGUGCCCCUCGCACUACUCUCAUCUUCUCUCGAUUUAGCGAAGAACCCAAAUGAGAAGCCCUAAUUUCAAAAUCCGAAAUCGCCGUCACCCGAGCCCGAAAUUCGGCAAUACAGCAGCCUCCUCUUCAACGUGGUCGAAGUUCUCGCACCGGAAGUCCUCGCCGUUCCCCCUUCUUUUUCGAUGUGGAGCCCUAAUUAUUAGAAGAAGGAAAUUACUACUGUCGCGACUGGAAGGCCAACGAACGGCUGAGCUUCGCCCAUCUCUGCCUUGAAUCCAUGCUCGAGAAUGAGAGAAAGGGAAACGAGCUCUAAUUCUUUUCUACUCCCGCCGUCAUGGUUCGGCUGCCACCUCCGCCGUCUGUGGAAGACCGGCGAUUCAGCGGCGCCGCUCCAUUCACGACGCCGCUACUGCUGCUACACGAUCCCCUCCGAGGCAGGAAGCGCUGCUGUCAUCAUCGUCGUCUUGGCUCGACUGAACAGGGUAGCGUCCCUCGUCGUCGAAAAGUUAAGUAUUCUACUUGUUAUUGUAGAAAGUGUUUGAUGUUGCUUGUGAUUUCUGAGUUCAUGCCAUAAUAAUCGAGGCAUAGGUGACUUCUCUCUAAGAUUCCUAAAGUGAGAUAUUAAACAAAAUGUUAUAUGUUUCUAAGUUAGUAAUUACUUUAAAUUAAGUAAAAUGAUGGCAGGAAUCAUAGCUUCAGCCCAAAGCUUCGAUUUUUGACCCUCCCUCAAGAACCCCAGAAUUUCAUCUUCUUUAUAUUUGUAUCAAUUGACUAUGUAUACAUGUCUAUAUGUAUGUGAAGAAUUGAUUGGGAUUUUAUUUGGGUAUUUAUUCACAAGAAAACAUGAUUCCCUAAUAGUUUAGUUUAAGUGGAUUUGGGAGUUCUUGGAAUAAGCUAGCUACAUGUUUGAUGCUUGUGUAAUUGUACUCCUUGAAUUGUAAAAUGAGAUUAUAUGACAAUAGUUGGAGGAUAUCAAGCAUGCUACUAUAUGUUGAUGUGUUGAACAUGAAUUACGUUUAAGCUAAAGCAUGCUAAUGUGUAGUAAGAUGAUGUAUUUGAGUUACUAUAGCUUUUAUUUGAUAAAAAUAUGAGUUAUAUGUUGAGUUGAGAUGAAGAAGGUAUUGCUGUUGGUUUUGCUGUACAGGACAGUACCUUGUAAGGUAUUUUCGGGAGUGUUCCUGUGUUCGAAAUGAUUUGAAAUUUUUACAGUAAUUACUUCAUUAUGAGUAUUAGAUCUCUGCAAAAUUUCAGCUAAAUCCGAGACUAAUAGACAUGUCAAACUAUUUUCUGAAAUGUACUGCACGGAGCAGCAGAGUUCAGUUGCAGAUUCUGUCUUUGGUCAUAUAACUUCUUAUACACUUGAGAUAUUGUAUUUUUGUAACUUUCUAAUAAAUAUAGACGUUAAUAGCUUUCUAAAAAGGUAAAGCCCGUAUUUUUCCUUGAAGCGAUUGAUUUUAUAUGAUUUUCCAAAGUUAGGAUUCAAAUGUGUAUGUGUCUUGAUUAAACUUGUGAUUGGUAGUUAAUUGAGAUCCUACACUACUAAACUUGAAUUAAGGUUUUAUUGUUCUAAUUACCUAUUGAGAAUUAUUGAUUACUAAGCUUGUUAAUAUGAUAGUUGAUGGACAUAAUUAUGUUUAUAUGAUUAAUUACUUUGGGAUUUUGUGUUUUACAUGUAUGGUUAGUUGUAAACUGAUCUCUAUGGAAUGGAUUUGUUUACUUCUAAACUUUCUCAAGUAGAGGAAUUCCUAUAAGAUAGGAAUAUUAGUUUAUACUUUCUUAAAGUUCAUAAGAGUUAGUAUAUUGGUUAGUUUAGUUGAUUCAACCCUAGCUCUGCAGAAGAUUAAAAGUUUAUUGGGAUGUUAUUUAUAGCUAAUUCUUCUUAUCUAGUUAUCCAAUCUUAUUUUAGAAUCUUGCUAUUAUGAAGGUGACAGUAACAAUGCUAGAUAAGUGAGCAAGAGUUUCUACACCGUUAAGCGUAUCAGGUUAAGCUGUGAUGCAGAUGGAGGCGAGCAGAGCAAAGCUUUUGAAGUAUAAGUAUUAAAUUAGGCUCAGGAUUUCAUGUCUUCAUACAUGUAAUCCACUUAAGUUAUUCCGCUGCAACACUUAGUGUAUUUUACUUUAUUGAUGUGUUGUACAGAUUUUAAACCAAUAGCUUCGAAAAUUAUGUCACUUGAAAAUUUGACAACUUGUCGUUAUGUAUUGUGAGUUGUCUGCUUUGAGUUUUAGAAAAGAUUGUUUAUGAUUACCAAAUAUUUAGGUAAAUUAUUGUUUAAGCAAGAUGAUUAUUUUUAUUGAAACCUCUUUUAUUUUCCAUUUUCUUUUUCCAUUUCCCCAGUCACAUUUUCCCCGGCUUAACUGUUGUUAGCUUAGGUCGGGCUGUGACAGAGUGGUAUCAGAGCAGGUCGUUUGCUCUGAGCCUAAAUAUUCCUUUGAGUCUAGUCUAAAUUUGAAUCUUUGGACUAGUGUGAGUAAUAUAGUAAAAGCUCUGCUCUCCAUCUCAUCCAACUUAGCCAGGUACGGAUUUUCAGAGUUUUGAAGUAGCAUGUUACAUUUUUAAACAAGUUUGAGAUAUGAGUUGCAGUUUUGCAAGUAUUAGUAUGAUGGAAACUUAUAUAUUUUAAAAUGAGCAUGGACAACAUGAGUUAUUUAUGAGUAUCCUCUGCCUAUACGAACUUUUGAGAUUUGAAUGGAUAAAAGUGUUAUUCAUAUUUUAAUAUUUGUGUUUUGAUAUGUGGAUGGAGAUAUAGAAAGUUUGAUGAUACAAUAAUGACGUAUAUCAGUCGCGAUGUAACCUAGUACUAGUAGUGAUGUUAUACAGUUACGGCACCACAAUUAAUACUAAGAGUUUUUUUUGCAACAUAUAUUCCUAUCUUUCGUAUGAGAACUCAUUGAGGCAAAUUUUCUCAUGAUAUGAAGUGAUCAAAGUGGUCAUUUACUAGGUUGUUAUUGAGAUUUACUUGCGUUUUAUGACUUGAAUUUUGGUGUAUGAGUUUUAUAACUUAGUUUGAUUCUAGUUAAGUAGGAGUUUGACUUUAUUGAUGGGGUGAAAACUCAAUUUUGGAGAUUUUGUGUAUUUACUCGGCAUGAUGUCUCAAAAGAAGAAGUGGAAACCUGCCAUCCACCAGAUGAACAAUUUAGAGAAUUUACUCCUCCCCCCUCAUCUGGAAAGAAGAAUUGCAGAAAGUUUUUCAUCGUCAAAAUUCCCCUAUUUAUAGUAGAGUUUCGCGAGUUUCGCUUCCUGUGAUGCAAUGAUCAAGAGCACCUUCUUGUAUGUUAUUUCAACAAGGAUCGACUGGUUAUUAGUGGGAGACGAAGCAGAAGAUAUAUACCCUCGAGCGAUUAGAGAGUCUUAUUUGGGGUCAGAUCAUAGAAGCUUUUACCAAGAAUAUAUUUCCAGAAGCCGUCGUCAGCAAAAGGAGACGUAAUUUAACAAUUUAAAGCAAUAGAAGAAGACAGUAGCUGAAUGUGAUCAAGGGUUUUGUGAUAUAGCUGGAUAUAUGCCUUAUAAGGCUGACACAUAUAUUAGUUGUAACUUUUGAUAGAGUUUUGAUGUAGUGCCUUUGCUUGUUGGCAAACCAAAUAUUCUUUCAGCUAUUGCAAGCCAAACAUUCCUUCAACUAAUGAAGAUAUCUCUUUUCCAUUUCAUCCCUCCCACCAAAAGUUUUGUUUGAAAUCUUGAUAUAAUUUAGUGCUUCUGUGGUGGGCAGUAUAUAGCGUAUCAUGAGCUUUACUCGUGAUUUUAUUUCUCAACUGUUCAGUAUUGGGUACACAACUUUUCUCAAACAUGAUAGCAGUACCCCUAGCUUUUUGGCAAGUAUUGACCCCUUCUAUCAAAAUCCUUACCCAUAAUUUUUCUCCUUUUUAUUUUCCCCAUGUACUUUAACAAUUCUUCUUCUCAAAUCAAAAAUCAUUGUUAACAUUGCAAUUACAGCUUCUCUUGUUUGCUGUGGUAGAACCAUUUGUAAAUCCAACUUUCAAAUCCUUGAUGAGAAUUUUUCUUCAUGGGUAAGGAGAAAUCCUUAGUAAACUUGAGUUUUUCUACUCAAGGCAUCCACUACUAUAUUGGCUUUGCGUGGGUGAUAAUUUAUUCUACAAUCAUAGUCCCUUACUAAUUCGAGCUAUAUUCCUUGUCUCACACUUAGAUCUUUUGCUCGAAUAAGUAUUUUAAACUUUUAUGAGGUGUAUCAAUUCCACAUCUCGUUUCAGAAUACCAUUGUUGCUAGUUCCAAGUUAUGUUGAGCAAUUCAGUUCUUGUGGUCUAUGUUCUCAUGACCCAAUAACAAUAACUCUUUCACUUUGCAACAAUGCACAACCAAGUCCAUCUUUGAUACACAGGACCAAUUUUAUAUGGUCUUUCAACUUUGAGAAUUCGGCCAUAUUUUAAAAUAGCCUUUCAUCCAACAACAGAUGAGCAAUUUGAGAGAAAUCUUUAAACCUUAGAAGAUGUGACAUAGACUAUUGUACUAGAGCGAAGAAGUGGCGACCUUAGCAGUAGGGACACUGGCGAUCGUAAGAAAUUCUGGGUUCCAAAACUCUCUUUCCAAAAAUGAUUUUUCAGAAGGAGCGAAUUCCCCGCAAACAAGGCAGGAGACGACUAUCUCAAGGUGCAUCACGCGUACUCAGAAGCCGCAUUAUGCACUAGAUUGAAGGAUGAAUUGGGAAAACCUUUUGCUAGUAAUUGAAUUGGCCUACAAUUAUAGCUUUCGGGCAAUAAUUGAUAUGACACCAUAUGGAGCUUAUUGUGGAAAGAAAUAUUGAUCUCCACUCUAUUGACAUGAGGUAAGUGAAAGAAAAGUAACAGGACCUGAUGCGCUUGAAGAAAUGAUUACGCUUAUCCGACAAAUUCAACAACUGCUCAACGAACCUCAAGAGCGACAGAAAUUUUUUUUUUUGUAGAUACUCGUUGAUUUGAUUUGAAAUUUUUGAAAUAGGGGAUGAAGUUUUUCUCAGUGUUCCGCAUUCUAAGAAUGCACAAAUUCGAUGUGAAAGAGAAGUAUCUAGCAUUAUUCUCUGACGUAGUCAAAUUUCGAGGACGAAAUUUCUUUAAGGGGGAGAGGAUGUAACACCCAGCAUUUUCACUACAGUAUAUAUAUUAUUUUCUAUUAUCUAAAAGAAGAAAGAGAAGUAGAAUCACUGAGAUGAGAUGAGAUAUUAUUAUAAUACCUUGAGCUUUUAAUUCAAUGAUUGCAUAAUUUGAAUAAUUAAGUAUUCUUGCUUUCUUUAUUAUUUUCAUUCUUGGAAGCAAGUUUAUAAUUCCUAGUUAAAGGGAUUAUUUUAUUAUUUUUCAGAGAUGAGAUUGGUGAUAAAUACGAAAUAUUAUUAGUCGACUUAUUGCUCGGCUAAUUGAAGUGACGGAUGUUAUUUAAUUAUUUAUCUAUGAGCUUUCUUUUUUUAAUAGUGAUAGUUUGAGGAAAUUUAGUAUAUGUAUAUAGAAUUGUAUUAUAUUUCAUUGGGUGUAUAAUAAUUUAUUAAUUUAGAUAGCUAUCAAAUACUACUUGAGCUUGGAGCACAAGUUUCGUGAGUCAUAUUAGUGUAGAGAAUUGCUUUUCUAAUUUAUUCUUAUUUUUAUUUGAUCUAAUUUUGAGGGCCACAAAAUAAGGCUUAUAGGAAAAGCCAAGUUUUCCUCUUAUUAUUUAUUUCUUCUACAAACCUCAAAUGGGCCGAUCAGCAAGGGAAAUGAGGUUUGAAUUAUAUUGCUCAUUUCUAUAAUUGGAUUUAAAUUUUUAAUGUUUGAGAUAAGCAUUUAUUUAUUGUAAAGUGUAUAUAUUAGUUUGAGGAGAUUCAUUUCCUUUUCUUCUCCCCAAAUCAGUCGACCUUCUCCCCUCUCUCUUUAUGGAACCUCUGUUUGAGUUUACUUUCAACCUUCAAGAAGAUUCAGCCGCCGCCUCUGCUCCGACCGUCGUCGGCUGCCGUCGGGUCCAAGUCCGGCGUCUCGUCUGUUCUUCCCUGGUGCCCCUCGCACUACUCUCAUCUUCUCUCAAUUUAGCGAAGAACCCAAAUGAGAAGCCCUAAUUUCAAAAUCCGAAAUCGCCGUCACCCGAGCCCGAAAUUCGGCAAUACAGCAGCCUCCUCUUCAACGUGGUCGAAGUUCUCGCACCGGAAGUCCUCGCCGUUCCCCCUUCUUUUUCGAUGUGGAGCCCUAAUUAUUAGAAGAAGGAAAUUACUACUGUCGCGACUGGAAGGCCAACGAACGGCUGAGCUUCGCCCAUCUCUGCCUUGAAUCCAUGCUCGAGAAUGAGAGAAAGGGAAACGAGCUCUAAUUCUUUUCUACUCCCGCCGUCAUGGUUCGGCUGCCACCUCCGCCGUCUGUGGAAGACCGGCGAUUCAGCGGCGCCGCUCCAUUCACGACGCCGCUACUGCUGCUACACGAUCCCCUCCGAGGCAGGAAGCGCUGCUGUCAUCAUCGUCGUCUUGGCUCGACUGAACAGGGUAGCGUCCCUCGUCGUCGAAAAGUUAAGUAUUCUACUUGUUAUUGUAGAAAGUGUUUGAUGUUGCUUGUGAUUUCUGAGUUCAUGCCAUAAUAAUCGAGGCAUAGGUGACUUCUCUCUAAGAUUCCUAAAGUGAGAUAUUAAACAAAAUGUUAUAUGUUUCUAAGUUAGUAAUUACUUUAAAUUAAGUAAAAUGAUGGCAGGAAUCAUAGCUUCAGCCCAAAGCUUCGAUUUUUGACCCUCCCUCAAGAACCCCAGAAUUUCAUCUUCUUUAUAUUUGUAUCAAUUGACUAUGUAUACAUGUCUAUAUGUAUGUGAAGAAUUGAUUGGGAUUUUAUUUGGGUAUUUAUUCACAAGAAAACAUGAUUCCCUAAUAGUUUAGUUUAAGUGGAUUUGGGAGUUCUUGGAAUAAGCUAGCUACAUGUUUGAUGCUUGUGUAAUUGUACUCCUUGAAUUGUAAAAUGAGAUUAUAUGACAAUAGUUGGAGGAUAUCAAGCAUGCUACUAUAUGUUGAUGUGUUGAACAUGAAUUACGUUUAAGCUAAAGCAUGCUAAUGUGUAGUAAGAUGAUGUAUUUGAGUUACUAUAGCUUUUAUUUGAUAAAAAUAUGAGUUAUAUGUUGAGUUGAGAUGAAGAAGGUAUUGCUGUUGGUUUUGCUGUACAGGACAGUACCUUGUAAGGUAUUUUCGGGAGUGUUCCUGUGUUCGAAAUGAUUUGAAAUUUUUACAGUAAUUACUUCAUUAUGAGUAUUAGAUCUCUGCAAAAUUUCAGCUAAAUCCGAGACUAAUAGACAUGUCAAACUAUUUUCUGAAAUGUACUGCACGGAGCAGCAGAGUUCAGUUGCAGAUUCUGUCUUUGGUCAUAUAACUUCUUAUACACUUGAGAUAUUGUAUUUUUGUAACUUUCUAAUAAAUAUAGACGUUAAUAGCUUUCUAAAAAGGUAAAGCCCGUAUUUUUCCUUGAAGCGAUUGAUUUUAUAUGAUUUUCCAAAGUUAGGAUUCAAAUGUGUAUGUGUCUUGAUUAAACUUGUGAUUGGUAGUUAAUUGAGAUCCUACACUACUAAACUUGAAUUAAGGUUUUAUUGUUCUAAUUACCUAUUGAGAAUUAUUGAUUACUAAGCUUGUUAAUAUGAUAGUUGAUGGACAUAAUUAUGUUUAUAUGAUUAAUUACUUUGGGAUUUUGUGUUUUACAUGUAUGGUUAGUUGUAAACUGAUCUCUAUGGAAUGGAUUUGUUUACUUCUAAACUUUCUCAAGUAGAGGAAUUCCUAUAAGAUAGGAAUAUUAGUUUAUACUUUCUUAAAGUUCAUAAGAGUUAGUAUAUUGGUUAGUUUAGUUGAUUCAACCCUAGCUCUGCAGAAGAUUAAAAGUUUAUUGGGAUGUUAUUUAUAGCUAAUUCUUCUUAUCUAGUUAUCCAAUCUUAUUUUAGAAUCUUGCUAUUAUGAAGGUGACAGUAACAAUGCUAGAUAAGUGAGCAAGAGUUUCUACACCGUUAAGCGUAUCAGGUUAAGCUGUGAUGCAGAUGGAGGCGAGCAGAGCAAAGCUUUUGAAGUAUAAGUAUUAAAUUAGGCUCAGGAUUUCAUGUCUUCAUACAUGUAAUCCACUUAAGUUAUUCCGCUGCAACACUUAGUGUAUUUUACUUUAUUGAUGUGUUGUACAGAUUUUAAACCAAUAGCUUCGAAAAUUAUGUCACUUGAAAAUUUGACAACUUGUCGUUAUGUAUUGUGAGUUGUCUGCUUUGAGUUUUAGAAAA